GUUGUAAACUAUAGCAAGCAAUCCCACGGUUGGGCUUCGGCCUGGCUGUGGGUAAAAUGGAUAACCAUGGUAAUUCUGAGGCUAAUACAAGAACGUACUCCCUGGCUGACCGGCAACGGAAGGCUGGGGAGCGUGCAACGUAUCGUAAGACAAACCGGGAAUGGGUGCACGCUUGGACCGCGCUAAAAACAGAUCUUGGUGAACCUUCGGGUAAGCUUUGGCCUGAGCGGCUCUUGCUGUGUGCUUCUGACCUAUCAACUAGAUGGCAGCGUAACGGACAUGCUAUGGUUACAACGGGUACAGAGGAUUAGGGUUCGAUCCUGGAGAGUGGGCCUGAGAGAUU
rnacentral:rRNA from 1 species